UUUACGCGUAUUAACAAUAGCAUAUGUCAUAAACUCUAGAACGAAAUUCCAACUUGCUUUCGGUACAUCCCUGUAACAUCCUCGCAAAUUAAUGACUAUCCCUCUCCUGCACUACAAGGCGGAAAGCCAUAAUGAGAAACAGACCGAAUAAUCACCACAGAUUGUUACUCAAACGCGUCUCGGUAAAUGUCAGGAAGUAUACUGGAACGACAUUUGGAGACUGCAUGCAGUGCUUGCGCCCAAGCAACGACGACAGGUGGAUCUGGUUUGGUGCAAUAUAAAUUGGGAGUCACGUGUAGAAUGGGGCGGUGAGACUGAGGGACAGGAUUUAAUUGAUCAGACAGGUGCCUAUUGUUGGCACAUGGUUAUCAAAACACAACCAAUUACAUUGAGAUGGAAUUUGCAAGCUUUUGACAAAUGCGGGACUUUGUGCUCGGGGAAGUCGGGGUCAGUUACCUGCACACGACAGGCAGUCGACAUUGGCUUGACUGAUUGGAGUGCUCUGAUGCGUAUUGGGCUGUGUUAGUAACGAUGCACCUGAACUAUCCGAGACGAAAGCCUUCCACGGCUUCACCAGGCCACAACCAUUAUCCUCCUUCCUGCUAUUUCCAAAUCGUACAGACGUUACCUCGUUGGCAUGUCAUGCGGCCCUGGCAGCUAAAUUGCUGUUCGGUUCUCACCGUCAAUCGGGAUCGGGCCACCCCCACCCUCCGCUUUAGAUAAUCCCCAUCCGUUGACGUUGGGAGUAGGGAGAAAUUACCCCGGUUCUUUCUGAGGAAGGGCUUCAAUUAUCGCAUCAAAGUGUAGAGGAGGCGCCACAUGAUGUAGAGGAAACUUUUGGCGAUGUAGUUGAAGCAGAAGGAAACCAUAGCUUUACACGCAUGUUAUAUACUUAUACGCCACGGCCUGUUUAUAUCAUUGGAGAAGGAGUCGUAUGAAGAUGCAUUGUUUGGAUAUAGGCCUUUAGAUUUAUACUGGAUCUGUACGGAUCCGAUCAUCCCAGUGCAAUUUGCGGCUUUUCAGUGAUGGGAAAGGGAUGACGUAAGUAAAGAGAAGAAAGGGGAGCUGGGAUCUGAUGUAGGCCUAUGUGCGUAAAAUCCACGCAGGCACCGCAGAACAACAGGAAGGCGAAAGUACUCGCGUCGUAUGACUACCUAAAUGAAGUAAUUGGUGUUUAGAACUUCUUUAAGACGUUGCUUGUUAAACUUUUUUUUUUUUUUACAACGGCAAAAUAUAAGCAUUAAAAUUGAAUUCCACUAGUCAUGCUUGUUCAAGCCUGUAUGUUUCAAGACAUCUUAAGGCAGACCCUGCGCUGGCGUACUUCGUGUUCCAUUUGCUUUUUUCAUUCCACGCUGUUGCAGUGGUUUGCUUUUCUUUCUUUAUCCUUAGAAGAAAUUCCAUUACCAAAUGUCAACUCUCUGUCGUUCAGUUUGUCCGAACCUGUACCUAUAUAUAUAUAUAAAACCGUUCCAGCCAUGUGAA